rnacentral:rRNA from 1 species
CCUACGGGUGGCAGCAGUGGGGAAUAUUGCACAAUGGGGGGAACUCUGAUGCAGCAACGCCGCGUGGGUGAAGAAGUACUUCGGUAUGUAAAGCCCUGUCAGCAGGGAAGAAAAUGACGGUACCUGACCAAGAAGCCCCGUCUAACUACGUGCCAGCAGCCGCGGUAAUAUGUCGGGGGCAAGCGUUAUCCGGAUUUACUGGGUGUAAAGGGAGCGUAGACGGCAAGGCAAGUCUGUAGUGAAAGCCCGUGGCUCAACCACGGGACUGCUUUGGAAACUGUGUUGCUGGAGUGCAGGAGGGGUAAGCGGAAUUCCUAGUGUAGCGGUGAAAUGCGUAGAGAUUAGGAGGAACACCGGUGGCGAAGGCAGCUUACUAGACUGUAACUGACGUUGAGGCUCGAAGGCGUGGGGAGCAAACAGGAUUAGAUACCCUAGUAGUC